rnacentral:rRNA from 1 species
UGAGUACGACGGAGCACGUGAAAUUCCGUCGGAAUCUGGGAGGACCAUCUCCUAAGGCUAAAUACUCUCUAGUGACCGAUAGUGAACCAGUACCGUGAGGGAAAGGUGAAAAGCACCCCGGAAGGGGAGUGAAAUAGAACCUGAAACCGUGUGCUUACAAGUAGUCAGAGCCCGUUAAUGGGUGAUGGCGUGCCUUUUGUAGAAUGAACCGGCGAGUUACGAUUUGAUGCAAGGUUAAGCAGUAAAUGUGGAGCCGUAGCGAAAGCGAGUCUGAAUAGGGCGUUUAGUAUUUGGUCGUAGACCCGAAACCAGGUGAUCUACCCUUGGUCAGGUUGAAGUUCAGGUAACACUGAAUGGAGGACCGAACCGACUUACGUUGAAAAGUGAGCGGAUGAACUGAGGGUAGCGGAGAAAUUCCAAUCGAACCUGGAGAUAGCUGGUUCUCUCCGAAAUAGCUUUAGGGCUAGCCUCAAGUGAUGAUUAUUGGAGGUAGAGCACUGUUUGGACGAGGGGCCCCUCUCGGGUUACCGAAUUCAGACAAACUCCGAAUGCCAAUUAAUUUAACUUGGGAGUCAGAACAUGGGUGAUAAGGUCCGUGUUCGAAAGGGAAACAGCCCAGACCACCAGCUAAGGUCCCAAAAUAUAUGUUAAGUGGAAAAGGAUGUGGCGUUGCCCAGACAACUAGGAUGUUGGCUUAGAAGCAGCCAUCAUUUAAAGAGUGCGUAAUAGCUCACUAGUCGAGUGACACUGCGCCGAAAAUGUACCGGGGCUAAACAUAUUACCGAAGCUGUGGAUUGUCCUUUGGACAAUGGUAGGAGAGCGUU